GACGAACGCUGGCGGCGUGCUUAACACAUGCAAGUCGAACGGUAAGGCCCUUCGGGGUACACGAGUGGCGAACGGGUGAGUAACACGUGGGUGAUCUGCCCUGCACUUCGGGAUUAGCCUGGGAAACUGGGUCUAAUACCGGAUAGGACCACUGCCUGCAUGGGUGGUGGUGGAAAGCUUUUGCGGUGUGGGAUGGGCCCGCGGCCUAUCAGCUUGUUGGUGGGGUGAUGGCCUACCAAGGCGACGACGGGUAGCCGGCCUGAGAGGGUGACCGGCCACACUGGGACUGAGAUACGGCCCAGACUCCUACGGGAGGCAGCAGUGGGGAAUAUUGCACAAUGGGCGCAAGCCUGAUGCAGCGACGCCGCGUGAGGGAUGACGGCCUUCGGGUUGUAAACCUCUAUCAGCACCGACGAAGCGCAAGUGACGGUAGGCGCAGAAGAAGGACCGGCCAACUACGUGCCAGCCGCCGCCGUAA
rnacentral:rRNA from 1 species